AUUGAACGCUAGCGGGAUGCCUUACACAUGCAAGUCGAACGGAGUGGCGAACGGGUGAGUGAUGUAUCGGAACGUGCCCAGUAGCGGGGGAUAACUACGCGAAAGCGUAGCUAAUACCGAAUACUCUUGGAGUGGCCGAUAUCGGAUUAGCUAGUUGGUGGGGUAACGGCUGACCAAGGCGACGAUCCGUAGCUGGUUUGAGAGGACGACCAGCCACACUGGGACUGAGACACGGCCCAGACUCCUACGUGAGGCAGCAGUGGGGAAUUUUGGACAAUGGGCGAAACCCUGAUCCAGCCAUCCCGCGUGUGCGAUGAAGGCCUUCGGGUUGUAAAGCACUUUUGGCAGGAAGGCGGUACCUGCAGAAGAAGCACCGGCUAACUACGUGCCAGCAGCCGCGGUAAUUC
rnacentral:rRNA from 1 species